rnacentral:rRNA from 1 species
UACGUAGGGUGCGAGCGUUAAUCGGAAUUACUGGGCGUAAAGCGUGCGCAGGCGGUGAUGUAAGACAGUUGUGAAAUCCCCGGGCUCAACCUGGGAACUGCAUCUGUGACUGCAUCGCUGGAGUGCGGCAGAGGGGGAUGGAAUUCCGCGUGUAGCAGUGAAAUGCGUAGAUAUGCGGAGGAACACCAAUGGCGAAGGCAGCACUCUGGGACGUGACUGACGCUGAGACGCGAAAGCGUGGGGAGCAAACAGG